rnacentral:rRNA from 1 species
UACGGAGGUGCGAGCGUUGUCCGGAUCACUGGGCGUAAAGGGCGCGUAGGCGGCCUGAUAAGUGAGGGGGGUGAAAUCCUGCGGCUUAACCGCAGGGCUGCCUUCUAAACUGUCGGGCUAGAGCACGGUAGAGGCAGAUGGAAUUCCCGGUGUAGCGGUGGAAUGCGUAGAGAUCGGGAAGAACAUCAGUGGCGAAGGCGGUCUGCUGGGCCGUUGCUGACGCUGAGGCGCGACAGCGUGGGGAGCAAACAGG